rnacentral:rRNA from 1 species
AUUGAACGCUGGCGGCAUGCUUUACACAUGCAAGUCGGACGGCAGCACAGAGAAGCUUGCUCCUUGGGUGGCGAGUGGCGAACGGGUGAGUAAUAUAUCGGAACGUACCGAGUAAUGGGGGAUAACUAAUCGAAAGAUUAGCUAAUACCGCAUAUUCUCUGAGGAGGAAAGCAGGGGACCUUCGGGCCUUGCGUUAUUCGAGCGGCCGAUAUCUGAUUAGCUAGUUGGUGGGGUAAAGGCCUACCAAGGCGACGAUCAGUAGCGGGUCUGAGAGGAUGAUCCGCCACACUGGGACUGAGACACGGCCCAGACUCCUACGGGAGGCAGCAGUGGGGAAUUUUGGACAAUGGGCGCAAGCCUGAUCCAGCCAUGCCGCGUGUCUGAAGAAGGCCUUCGGGUUGUAAAGGACUUUUGUCAGGGAAGAAAAGGCUGUUGCUAAUAUCAAUAGCUGAUGACGGUACCUGAAGAAUAAGCACCGGCUAACUACGUG